AAACUAAUUAAAGCGCUGGCGCUUGCCAUUGGCAAGCAGACGAGGAAGAGGUUUAUCGAGUAGUCGGCGGGUACCUCUCGGAACUGCGCAACCGUUAGCAACCGACAAAACCGGCAAGUGAUUGCCGGGACAAAACGCGUUGCAGCGCAAAAA
rnacentral:ncRNA from 1 species